GAUGAACGCUGGCGGCAUGCCUAACACAUGCAAGUCGAUUGGUAAGGCUCUUCGGAGUACACGAGAGGCGGACGGCUGAGUAACGCGUAGGAACACACCCUGCAGUGAGGGAUAAGACACCGAAAGGUGUUCUAAUACCGCAUACGGUCUUCGGAUUAAAGCAUUUAUGCGCUGAAGGAGUGGCCUGCGUCAUAUUAGAUAGUUGGUGAGGUAAUGGCUCACCAAGUCGAUGAUGUGUAGCUGGUCUGAGAGGAUGAUCAGCCAGACUGGAACUGAGACACGGUCCAGACUCCUACGGGAGGCAGCAGUGAGGAAUAUUUCACAAUGAGCGAAAGCUUGAUGGAGCAAUGCCGCGUGCAGGAUGAAGGCCCUCGGGUUGUAAACUGCUUUUAUAAGAGAAGAUUAUGACGGUAACUUAUGAAUAAGGGACGGCUAACUACGUG
rnacentral:rRNA from 1 species